GCCUUCGGGCGGGGGCUCCGGGUGGACACUUCAAACUCUUGCGUAACUUUGCAGUCUGAGUAAACUUAAUUAAUAAAUUAAAACUUUUAACAACGGAUCUCUUGGUUCUGGCAUCGAUGAAGAACGCAGCGAAAUGCGAUAAGUAAUGUGAAUUGCAGAAUUCAGUGAAUCAUCGAAUCUUUGAACGCACAUUGCGCCCCCUGGUAUUCCGGGGGGCAUGCCUGUUCGAGCGUCAUUUCACCACUCAAGCCUCGCUUGGUAUUGGGCAACGCGGUCCGCCGCGUGCCUCAAAUCGACCGGCUGGGUCUUCUGUCCCCUAAGCGUUGUGGAAACUAUUCGCUAAAGGGUGUUCGGGAGGCUACGCCGUAAAACAACCCCAUUUCUAAGGUUGACCUCGGAUCAGGUAGGGAUACCCGCUGAACUUAAGCAUAUCAAUAAGCGGAGGAAAAGAAACCAACAGGGAUUGCUCUAGUAACGGCGAGUGAAGCAGCAAUAGCUCAAAUUUGAAAUCUGGCGUCUUCGACGUCCGAGUUGUAAUUUGUAGAGGAUGCUUCUGAGUAACCACCGACCUAAGUUCCUUGGAACAGGACGUCAUAGAGGGUGAGAAUCCCGUAUGCGGUCGGAAAGGUGCUCUAUACGUAGCUCCUUCGACGAGUCGAGUUGUUUGGGAAUGCAGCUCUAAAUGGGAGGUAAAUUUCUUCUAAAGCUAAAUAUUGGCCAGAGACCGAUAGCGCACAAGUAGAGUGAUCGAAAGAUGAAAAGCACUUUGGAAAGAGAGUUAAAAAGCACGUGAAAAUUGUUAAAAGGGAAGGGAAUUGCAACCAGACUUGCUCGCGGUGUUCCGCCGGUCUUCUGACCGGUCUACUCGCCGCGUUGCAGGCCAGCAUCGUCUGGUGCCGCUGGAUAAGACUUGAGGAAUGUAGCUCCCUCGGGAGG
rnacentral:rRNA from 1 species